rnacentral:rRNA from 1 species
GUGGGGAAUUUUGGACAAUGGGGGCAACCCUGAUCCAGCCAUGCCGCGUGCGGGAAGAAGGCCUUCGGGUUGUAAACCGCUUUUGUCAGGGAAGAAAUCCUUUGGGUUAAUACCUCGGAGGGAUGACGGUACCUGAAGAAUAAGCACCGGCUAACUACGUGCCAGCAGCCGCGGUAAUACGUAGGGUGCGAGCGUUAAUCGGAAUUACUGGGCGUAAAGCGUGCGCAGGCGGUUUUGUAAGAUCGAUGUGAAAUCCCCGGGCUCAACCUGGGAACUGCAUUGGUGACUUCAAGGCUGGAGUGCGGCAGAGGGGGAUGGAAUUCCGCGUGUAGCAGUGAAAUGCGUAGAUAUGCGGAGGAACACCGAUGGCGAAGGCAAUCCCCUGGGCCUGCACUGACGCUCAUGCACGAAAGCGUGGGGAGCAAACAGGAUUAGAUACCCCGGUAGUCC